rnacentral:rRNA from 1 species
GGAAUUUGAUCUUGGUUCAGAUUGAAUGCUGACGGCGUGGAUGAGGCAUGCAAGUCGAACGGGACUAUGAGCUUGCUUAUAGUUUAGUGGCGAAAGGGUUAGUAAUACAUGGAUAACCUACCUUUUACUUUGGGAUAACAGUUGGAAACGGCUGCUAAUACCGGAUGUUAUGAUGUGAGGCAUCUCACACUCAUUAAAGUUGGGGACUUAGCGAUAAGCCUAGCGGUAAGAGAGGGGUCCAUGGGAUAUCAGCUUGUUGGUGAGGUAAAAGCUCACCAAGGCUCCGACAUCUAGGCGGACUGAGAGGUUGACCGCCAACACUGGGACUGAGACACUGCCCAGACUCCUACGGGAGGCUGCAGUCGAGAAUCAUUCGCAAUGGGCGCAAGCCUGACGAUGCGACGCCGUGUGAACGAAGAAGGCCUUCGGGUUGUAAAGUUCUUUCGCUUGGGGAAAAGAGCGAUAUACGAAUAGUAUAUUUAUUUGAUGGUACCAAGUAAAGAAGCACCGGCUAACUCCGUGCCAGCAGCUGCGGUAAUACGGAGGGUGCAAGCAUUAAUCGGAUUUAUUGGGCGUAAAGGGCGCGUAGGCGACUAUGUAAGUCAUGGAUGAAAUCCCCGGGCUCACCCCGGGAGCUGUCUAUGAAACUAUAUGGAUUGAGCUUAGGAGAGGAAAAUGGAAUUCCACGUGUAGCGGUGAAAUGCGUAGAUAUGUGGAAGAACAUCGGUAGCGAAGGCGAUUUUCUGGCCUAUAGCUGACGCUGAGGCGCGAAAGCAAGGGUAGCGAACAGGAUUAGAUACCCUGGUAGUCCUUGCCGUAAACGAUGCAUACUUGAUGUAGAGGGGCUCAACCCCUUCUGUGUCGUAGCUAACGUGUUAAGUAUGCCGCCUGAGGAGUACACUCGCAAGGGUGAAACUCAAAAGAAUUGACGGGGACCCGCACAAGCAGUGGAGCAUGUGGUUUAAUUCGAUGCAACGCGAAGAACCUUACCCAGUCUUGACAUGCAGAGGACGCUAUUAGAGAUAAUAGUUUCCGUAAGGACCUCUGUGCAGGUGCUGCAUGGCUGUCGUCAGCUCGUGCCGUGAGGUGUUGGGUUAAGUCCCGCAACGAGCGCAACCCUUAUCAUUAGUUGCCAGCAUUUCGGAUGGGGACUCUAAUGAGACUGCCCGGGUGAACCGGGAGGAAGGUGAGGAUGACGUCAAGUCCGCAUGGCCCUUAUGACUGGGGCUACACACGUGCUACAAUGGUCGAUACAGAAGGCAGCGAAGCCGUAAGGUGGAGCAAAUCCUAUAAAGUCGAUCUCAGUUCGGAUUGUAGGCUGCAACUUGCCUACAUGAAGUUGGAAUUGCUAGUAAUGGCGUGUCAGCAAUAACGCCGUGAAUACGUUCCCGGGUCUUGUACACACCGCCCGUCACAUCAUGGUAGUUGGUUUUACCCGAAGUCGUUGACCCAACCGCAAGGGGGGAGGCGCCGAAGGUGAGGCUGAUAACUGGGAUGAAGUCGUAACAAGGUA